AUGCAGACACCACUCUGCUUUCAUAUGCAGCUCCCCUCAUUUGUAUGCCUUUCCCUUCCUGUGUACCAUCUAAUUUCCCAUGAGGACCAACUUCAACCUUCUCCAGAGCUGGCUCCUCCUCCAGAGCUGGCUCCUCCUCCAGAGCUGGUCCUUAAAGGUCUUUCUUCUCAUCCUCUAACCUGUGACUUGCUCUCCUUAAUACUCAAUUUUAAAAACAAAAUUUCCUAUUAAUCUCUUUGAAGUCAGACUUUGCCAUAUCUCUACCUUAUAGUACCCACAAAGGUCACGGACCAACAAAUGUUUGAGAACCACCAGGAGGUUAUGCAGUAGGAGCACAGGGAAGAAAGGGGGAUGAGAGAACACUUCCUCUUCCUUCAGGUGUGAGAACAUGCUUAUCAAAAAAGAAGGUGAAUGUCUCAGUUCUGAAUGCUUUGAUGCGUCCAUUAAUACUUACUAGGACAUUUCCUUUUUUUCCACUUAUACUUUACUCACAUGCUCAACUACAACAGAAAAG
rnacentral:lncRNA from 1 species